rnacentral:rRNA from 1 species
CGGGAGGAAAGGCCGUCUCCUAAUAAGAGAGGAGCAUGACGUUACCGAGAGAAUAAGCACCGGCUAACUACGUGCCAGCAGCCGCGGUAAUACGUAGGGUGCGAGCGUUAAUCGGAAUUACUGGGCGUAAAGCGUGCGCAGGCGGUUAUGUAAGACAGAUGUGAAAUCCCCGGGCUCAACCUGGGAACUGCAUUUGUGACUGCAUGGCUAGAGUACGGUAGAGGGGGAUGGAAUUCCGCGUGUAGCAGUGAAAUGCGUAGAUAUGCGGAGGAACACCGAUGGCGAAGGCAAUCCCCUGGACCUGUACUGACGCUCAUGCACGAAAGCGUGGGGAGCAAACAGGAUUAGAUACCCUGGUAGUCCACGCCCUAAACGAUGUCAACUGGUUGUUGGGAAUUAUUUUUCUCAGUAACGAAGCUAACGCGUGAAGUUGACCGCCUGGGGAGUACGGCCGCAAGGUUGAAACUCAAAU